UACGUAGGGGGCUAGCGUUGUCCGGAAUCAUUGGGCGUAAAGAGCGCGUAGGCGGCCCGGUAAGUCCGCUGUAAAAGUCAAAGGCUCAACCUUUGAAUGUCAGUGGAUACUGCCGGGCUAGAGUCCGGAAGAGGCGAGUGGAACUCCUGGUGUAGCGGUGGAAUGCGCAGAUAUCAGGAAGAACACCAACGGCGAAGGCAGCUCGCUAGGACGGUACUGACGCUGAGACGCGAAAGCGUGGGGAGCAAACAGG
rnacentral:rRNA from 1 species